UUUCUUUUUAGGACUGCAGCCUCACCAUAUGGAGGUUCCCAGGCUAGGGGCUGAAUCAGAGCUGCAGCUGCCAGCCUUCACCACAGCCACAGCAAAGUGGGAUCUGAGCUGCAUCUGCAACCUACACCACAGUUUGCUGGAUCCUCGACCCACUGAGGGAGGCCAAGGAUUGAACCCAUGUCCUCAUGGAUACUAGUUGGGUUUGUUAUUGCUGAGCCACAGCAGGAACUCCUCUAUGUUAUUUUUAAACUACACAUAUAUGUGGAUUUUGGUAAAAUAUAAAUGAAAAAAGUAGUAGCUAUCACAAAUCUGUUACAUAUGCUACAUGAGAGGUAGCAGCCUAUGUAUUUUAAGAGAUACUCUUUUGUAGUGCACACUGCCACAUAGGAAAUCUAAAGAAAUCACACCCUCCAAAAAAGCUGAAACACUAUGAAAAACACAAAACUAAACUAAGAUUAUUUUUGUUUCCAAACCAAGCUUAUUUCUUUAACAAUAUUAAAACAUUUGGUUUGGUUGUUCUCAUCAAGACUAAAAUGUAUCCUCCUCUUAACGAUUAAAUCAGAAUUCCAAAACUUUCUGCUUAUGAAAUUGCAUAUCUGAAGAGGUCUAACUUUCUGGUGAAUAUUUUUCAGAAUCAAUUAUAUGCUGAAGAGAGAGCAUCACAACUUCUGAAUCUCUUGUCAAGUGUCAUGACUGCUAACACAUAAAAACAAUGAAAAUAUAAUGUUUUUUUAAGUUGUGCACUUUUGAAAUAUUUAAACAAUAAACAUCUUUUGUAUGCAGAUGAAACCAUAAGGCUAAAACUUGGUUUUUAAAAUAAGAAUAGUUGUCUUUUGUGCCAUUUGCUGUAUAUGGUAAAGGUGAAUGAAUAUUUGGUGAUUUUAUAGUAACUGUAUAUGUUCAUUCAUUGAACAAGUAUGAAUUGUUUACUUGGUGACAAGGUAUUUCACCCGUGUCCCCAGAAGCAUAACAAAGGGUUAGCUGCUCAGUACUUUCUGAAACUUAAGGACUAAUUCUUACUGUCACCAUGUCACUAUUUAUCACCUAUACAGAGCAAAAGAAAAACAAAACAAAAAGAAUGUUAAUGAAGCACAAAAACUGCUAUUUAACUGGGUUGGCACCAAAGGUUGACAGCGCUGUUGACUGUAACUCUCUGAAAAGAACCCAGAAUGUCAAGCUGAUCUCUUAAUGGUGAUUGGGUGAACACCAGGGUUCAGUGGUUUGUUUGUGAUGCACAUGCACAUCCAAACAUUUGGAUGUCUAUCCAACAUUUUAGUUAGAACUUUUCCCUCUAUUAGCACAGUUUAGAAAAGUGUAAUGUGUGACUUCUAUAGCACAUUCAUGGUUCUAUUUUUAUCAGCAUAGUAAACAAAGGAAAGCAGUCUAUGUUUUUGAAUGUCUUUCCUUUUCUUAAGUUCACUUGGGGUUAAAGUAGCAUGACAUUAGUUCUUUAUGAAUCACUGUUGAUAGUAAGACUACAUAUAUAUUGUGAAUUCAGAAUUUGAGAGACAAAAUCAAGAUGGGCUGUGAUACACUGUGUGAAAGACAGAAAUGGGUGACAUAAAUGAUAGUAAUUGGGGACAAAUGGGAAGGAGACCAUCCAAGAGGGACCUCUAUGAGGACGUAACAUAUAUAUGGAGAUCCGGAGGAUGAGAAGUCAUAGGAAGAACUAGAGAAAGAGUCUUGUAGGUAGAGAGAAUUGAAGGUAUAGAACUCUGAGGUGAAAGGCGCUUAUUGGUUGGGAAUAGGAAGGAGGGUAGCUUAAACUCCCCUAGAAAGAAUCUUUCUGACUUGCAUUUAUUUUGUAACCGACGGAGAGUUCCCUGCUCUCAAGCAGGAAAGAGUAGGUUAUGCCACUGUAACCAACCAUCCGCAAUCUAUAAGCUGCUCUAAACAGCUGGAUUGAUUUCUCACCUACCCAGUAUGUCCAGGGGGCUGGCUAGGUGCUCUGGGCUGUAUUCUUUUCACUCCAAAACCCACGGUGAUGAAACUGGCAUAUCUGGAAUGCAGUGCUUAUAGUGGUGGCAGAGUCAAAACAGACAGCACUGCACAUCCAGUGCAGGCUCUUAAAGCUUCCACACACAUCACUUCCACUAUCAUCUCAUUGGCCAAAGACACUAAUCUCAAGUCAACAAGGAAGUGUAAUUUUCCCGUGUGCCUGGAAGAGGAGUGGAACUGGAAAUAUUGAUGAGUGGCAGUAAUAGCUCCUUUGGGGGUGGGGUGGUGAGCAGUGAACAAGCUAGAACUGUAUAUAGAAGGUGUGUGUGUGUGUGUGUGUGUGUGUGUGUGUGUGUGUGUGUGUGUGUAGGUAUGUGCAUGUCGCCAGGGAAAAGGUCUGUUGCUUUAAUCAGAUUCUCAAAAGGAUCUGACACAUCAACAAUUAAAAACCGCUGGACCAGUUGAAAACUGUCAUGUAAACAGAUAAUUGCUAUACAAGGCAAUUUGCAGCAUGAGUGAGAGGCUGAAAUGAUUAAAGAACGGGGGUGGGUAUGUGUGUACAUGUGUGUGUAUGCGAGUGCGUGCAUGGUGAUAAGGAAAAAGUUGAUCAAAUUUGUGGACUAAAAGGGAGAAGCCAGAGAACAGGGAGCAGUGAAUUAAAGACCCCAAAUGUGAGGGGAAAUGACUGAUAUAAUGCAUUACCAGAUGCCUAAGUAGAUGGUGUCCAAUAUCCUAUGGGGUGUUCACUUCAGAGAUUAGAAGAAAUGACUCAUCUGUGAUUUAGGAGGAAGGGAGGGAAAAGAUGGCUGCCUCAUGGAUGUCAGGCAGGCUGCAAGUGGAGGGGAAUGAGAAGACGUCUGUUUUGUCCUUGCUACAUGGACAAGGGCAUCUACUCAGAAUGAGGGGGACCGUUGAGCAUGUUGAUAGGUUAGAACAGCUGUGAGGGAAAUCUGAAACGGAGCUGACUUGGGGACAAAUAAAAGGACUGCCAGUAGUACUGGGGGCCCAGCCGAUGUUGGAGAAUGUAGAUUUGUUGCAGUGCCAGUAAAGAGAGUUAUGGGAUUUUUCUUUCCAUGCCCAGCUGCCUGGAAGCAGGAGUGGAGAGAGUAAACAGUUAGACUUAUCCAGGCUGGGGAUUGGCAGAGCAGGUGCAACAACAUGUUUUGCUGAUAAUCUGAAGUUCAAGAAUCUCUGCAUAGGGAAAAAGGACUGAUUUUGCUUUUAAUUUUUUAAAAAAUAAGUUGGUCCAUUAUGGUGAGAAGCAGCUUUACAACUACAGUUAUUCCCUGUAGGUUGUAAUCCAUGGUCCCUGUGCAAUAUUUCUUUGUUUCACGGUCAUAACUGCUAUAACAAAAUAAUUGUAUGGUUGAAGGGAAAGAGCAUAGCUUAUCCCUUACUGUUUAAGUAAAACUGACCAUGGUGCACCCACUUAAGAUUUUCUGUGUUCCUAAUACUCCCUUACUCCAUCAGUAUAAUCUCGCAGAGAAAGGUAAGAGGAAAAAAAUGAAAGCCCUGGAGAUAUAAUUACAUACUCAGAAACAGAAUUGCUUACCUAAGCAUUUCGCCAUUAAUUAGCAUGUUGUAAAUUUUGCUGCCUUGGCUGAUAGUAAGACAUCUUAUUUAGAGGAACCAUUAAAUGAAGACAAAAGAAAAACAUCUGGAGUAGCUCAGCUCCAACGUAGACUGUCAUCUGAAAUGGCAUUGUAUUGCAUUUCUCUUUUCCCAGUUGCCUGCCAAAUCCCCGAAUUUCCCUGAUUUUGGUGAGGUUACAUCAUAAGCAUUGGACAAAAAUGGUGUUGCUGUUCAUAAAAGCCACAUACGCAUCCUGAAGGCAAACAUGCUUUUGAUAAUCGUUUUUUUCUGGUAUACCGAAUGACUUUCCUUGAAACCUGUCAUUUUAUUUUCCAUUUUCUCAGAAUGGAGGUCUCAUCUUUUUAAGUAUCUCUUGGUGACCGACAAGUGAGGUGAACAGGCCAAAUCCGAUCAUUUCGAAUUGUUUGAGGCUCAAGGUAAUGUGACUUUUUGCAUCCUUCCUCAACAGAGAGAAGUUAGCAGGAGGCAAGCAAGUUAAUCUUCUAAAAGAGCUUGUUGCUGCACAUGGCUCUUCCCCAGAAAAUCCUCUCUCUGAAUUUCAGUUGUUGAAACUAGCAGGUUUUAUCUCCAGGAACUAAGAUAAGUUUCUCUCCGCUCUGGCCUGCCAACUUGUAGACUGUCUUCAGCUGAGGCAGAGCUGCCAGAAUGAAUAGCUGGAGAAUCCACCCGACUCUCUAUUUAUUUUAGAGUAUGAUAAUUGGAGGGAAAAUGAAAAUUGUCAGUUUUUCAUUACACCCUCAAGCUCUCAGAGCUGGUUAUCCCAUCAGGCCUCCCAAAUAUACUUCUGCAGAAAAUUGUAUAAACAGAUGGAAAAGCCAGGAAGAAGGGGAUUCAUGUCUUGCCAAAGGCCACACAGUAUGUUUAGGGCAGGACUGGGCCCCUGUAAUUCCUGACAGAGCUGAGGUCUUCCUGCUCUGGCCCCAGAGCCAGGGGAGCAUGUGGACACUGAGAUCACUCAGUGGACCCUGGGCAGUGCCUGGUUGUGCAAGGGGUGAGGGCAAUGAAUUUGAACUAGACCCAAAAUGACCCACAACAAGCUGAACCAAAAGUCCAGAGACAGGAGGAUCCUGAGCAUGAGGACUGUCCGUCCACCUUUGCAUGCUGGGCACCCAGCUCCAUUGCCUGGUAUGUCAGUGCUGAUUACAUUCUGACAAAUUCAGAGCUUUUAAAAACAUAGGUCAGACAGUCUCAUUUCUGUGCUCCAAAUGCAUUGUGCAGAGUCUUCUCAUUUUCCUCAGAGUACAAGUCAAGCUCUGACCUGGGUGAUUUGCUCUUGGCUCCCUCUCGGACUGUAUUGCUUCUUCUUCUUCCUCUUUUUUUUUUUUUUUGGUUUGUUUUAUUAAAGGAUACUUGAUUUACAAUGUUGUGCCAAUUUCUGUUGUACAGCAUAGUGACCCAAUCUCUCUAUCUCUCUCUCUCUCUCUCUCACACACACACACACACACACACACACACACACACACAGACAUUCUUUUUCUCACACUAUCUUCUAUCAUGUUCUAUCUCAAAAGACUGGACAUAGUUCCUGAUGCUGUACAGUAGGACUUCAUUGCUUAUCCAUUCUAAAUAGAAUAGUUUGCCUCUAUUAACCCCUAAUUCCCAGUCCAUUCCACUCCCUCCCCCCUCCCUCUUGGCAACCACAAGUCUAUUCUCUAUGUCUCCAAGUCUAUUUCUGUUGUGUAGAUAGGUUCAUUUGUGCCAUAUUUUAGAUUCCACAUAUAAGUGAUAUCAUAUGGUAUUGUCUUUCUCUUUCUGACUUCACUUAGUAUGAUAAUCUCUAGUUGCAUCCAUGUUGCUGCAAAUGCCCUUAUUUUGUUCUUUUUAAUGGCUGAGUAGUAUUCCAUUGUAUAUAUGUGCCACAUCUUCCUAAUCCAUUCAUCUGUCAAUGGAUAUAUAGGUUGUUUCCGUACAUUGCCUCUUGACUGCAUUGCCCCUUCUCUCUUCUUCCUUGUCUCCCUGAAACUCACUCCUUUCCCUAGAAGGAGGCAGCUCGCUUUACCUUGGCUGUUCUUCAGGCCUGGACUCUUGCUCUCCCUCUACUUGAAGACUUUGCCCAAAUGUCACUUUUCAGUAAGUCAUUCCCAUUGCCCUUUCAAAAAAAAUUGCAGCCUUUUUCCCAACCUCCCACCCAUGCAUACUCCUUAUCUCCCUUAGCCCGUUCUAUUUCUUUCAUAACACUUAAUACCUGCUAACUCUGAUUCACUAUAUCAUUUACUUAUUUGCUACAUUGGUGUUUCAUUAUCUGUCUCCCUCAUGCUAACAAAGGUGAGGAUUUUUGUCUCUUUCAUUCACUGAUAUCCUUAGUGUUUCAACCAGUGUCCAACACAUAGAGGAUUUUUUUAUAAAAAUAAUUGUUGGGGGAGUUCCCAUCACGGCUCAGUUAACGAACCUGACUAGUAACCAUGAGGUUGAGGGUUCGAUCCCUGGCCUCGCUCAGUGGGUUAGGGAUCUGGCAUUGCUGUGAGCUGUGGUGUGGGUCUCUGACCCGGCUUGGAUCCUGUGUUGCUGUGGCAUAGGCCAGUGGCUACAGCUCUGAUUCGACCCCUAGCCUGGGAACCUCCAUAUGCCAUGGGUGUGGCCCUAAAAAAAUUGUUGAAUGGAUAAAUUAAAAAAAUUGGGGAGUGAAGCAAAUGAGUGGGUGAGUCGAAGAGGAAAAAUGACAUAGCAUUUAAGCCAAGUGUAGAGGUGAAAUUUACCUUCAGUUGUGGGAAAUUUAUAGAGGCAAAACUUCAUUUUCAUUUUCAGAAAUCUUUUGCAACUUUGAGGCAGAGCUGUAUACAUCCAACCUAUUGUGGUCAGUCUUUCUUGUUAACAAGAAAGUAGUUCAAUCCUUGGUAGAUUCAGGCAGAGAGCACACGUGUGGACUGGCUUUUCCCAAAGUGUGGUACGAGGCCCUCUGUUUCAGGAUUGCCUGGUACAUGCUCAGGUUCCUGAGCCUUAUCUAGUUUACUAAUUGCUAAGGAUUAGGUGUUUCAAAUGCCUGCUAAAGUUUGAGAAUUACUAGUAUAGAGAAAUCUGUAGAAAAUGAUGGGACAAGAUUCCCCCUACUGUAGUAUAAUUGUUCCACAAGAUGUUGGUAGGAUAGGAUUUC
rnacentral:lncRNA from 1 species